UUGCUUUGAUAGCACAUACACUAAAAUUGGAAUCAGACAGAGAAGAUUAGCAUGGUCCCAGCACAAGGAUGACAUGCAAAUUCAAGAACCAUUCCAUGUUACU
rnacentral:snRNA from 1 species